AUUGAACGCUGGCGGCAUGCUUUACACAUGCAAGUCGAACGGGGUGAGGGGGCAACUCCUCAUUCAGUGGCGAACGGGUGAGUAAUGCAUCGGAACGUGUCCCGUAGUGGGGGAUAACGC
rnacentral:rRNA from 1 species